rnacentral:misc_RNA from 1 species
GAUGAAGAACGUAGCGAAAUGCGAUAAGUAAUGUGAAUUGCAGAAUUCAGUGAAUCAUCGAAUCUUUGAACGCACCUUGCACCCUUUGGUAUUCCGAAGGGUAUGCUCGUUUGAGUGUCAUUGUACUCUCACACUUCUAAUUCCUUUCGGGAUUGGGAGCGGUGGACUUGGGUGUUGCUGCUUUAGUUGUGGCUCACCUCAAAUAAGUUAGUGCAACUCUUGGUUGGACAUAGUACGGCGUGAUAAGUGUCUUCGCCGGCGCCUCUGUAAGGAGGGUGGCCGAUCGGGAGCUCUGUGCUUCAAACGGUCUUCGGACAAUCUUUGACAACUUGACCUCGAAUCGAGUAGGACUACCCGCUGAACUUAAGCAUAUCAAUAAGCGGAGGA